rnacentral:rRNA from 1 species
UCGAGGAUCUUCGGCAAUGGGCGCAAGCCUGACCGAGCGACGCCGCGUGUGCGAUGAAGGCCUUCGGGUUGUAAAGCACUGUCGAGGGGGAGGAAAGCCGCAAGGCCUGACCUAUCCCUGGAGGAAGCACGGGCUAAGUUCGUGCCAGCAGCCGCGGUAAGACGAACCGUGCAAACGUUGUUCGGAAUCACUGGGCUUAAAGGGCGCGUAGGCGGGUGGUCAAGUCAGGGGUGAAAUCUUUCAGCUCAACUGGAAAACAGCUUCUGAUACUGGCCGUCUUGAGGGGGGUAGGGGCAUGUGGAACUUCCGGUGGAGCGGUGAAAUGCGUAGAUAUCGGAAGGAACGCCGGUGGCGAAAGCGACGUGCUGGACCCUUUCUGACGCUGAGGCGCGAAAGCCAGGGGAGCAAACGGGAUUAGAUACCCCCGUAGUCC